GCACAACGCGAAGAACCUUACCUGGUCUUGACAUAGUAAGAACUUUCCAGAGAUGGAUUGGUGCCUUCGGGAACUUACAUACAGGUGCUGCAUGGCUGUCGUCAGCUCGUGUCGUGAGAUGUUGGGUUAAGUCCCGCAACGAGCGCAACCCUUUUCCUUAUUUGCCAGCGGGUUAAGCCGGGAACUUUAAGGAUACUGCCAGUGACAAACUGGAGGAAGGCGGGGACGACGUCAAGUCAUCAUGGCCCUUACGACCAGGGCUACACACGUGCUACAAUGGUCGGUACAAAGGGUUGCUACCACGCGAGUGGAUGCUAAUCUCAAAAAGCCGAUCGUAGUCCGGAUCGCAGUCUGCAACUCGACUGCGUGAAGUCGGAAUCGCUAGUAAUCGUGAAUCAGAAUGUCACGGUGAAUACGUUCCCGGGUCUUGUACACACCG
rnacentral:rRNA from 1 species